rnacentral:rRNA from 1 species
GGUUAAGCGACUAAGCGUACACGGUGGAUGCCCUGGCAGUCAGAGGCGAUGAAGGACGUGCUAAUCUGCGAAAAGCGCCGGCGAGGUGAUAUGAACCUUUGACCCGUCGAUGUCCGAAUGGGGAAACCCAGUGUGUUCCGACACACUAUCGUUAACUGAAUACAUAGGUUAACGAGGCGAACCGGGGGAACUGAAACAUCUAAGU